rnacentral:lncRNA from 1 species
GGACAUAAAAUCAUCUUCCACAGAACAAAUAUGUUGUUCAAUUGUAUCAGAAACGACAAAAAUAAGAUUAACCGAGCCUGUCUCUCCGGAGUAUACCAGAUUCCUUUCUUUGAUAAUGACACCAAUACUAAUGAGAAGUAUAUUGGUUAUAUAACACGCUCUCUUAAAAGGAGGAUCCAAGAACACAAGAAAGACCUGGAGAGUAGCGCUGCUACUAUGGCUUUAGUGCAAUGGGUGCUUGUAUCUGAUUUAGAGGUUGAUUGAUCCAGUAGUAAACUCUUGCAUAAGGAGCACAACCCUAAGAGAGGAAGAAUUACAGAAACAGUGGUGAUCUACACCAACCGUAGUAGGAAAAUUAAACCAAUUAAUAAGUUGGAGCCAGCAUCAUUGAAUAUGACUUGGAAAUGGUGCAAUAUUUCUGGAAAUGAGUGAAUGGGUAGUAAAUGAACUUUGAGAAAAAGCAGACAUCGCAGUAUUUGGUUGGCAGCAGAUUAAUUGUUUUUCUUCGACCUAUUUUGCUCGUGUAUUAUUAAUAUAAUUUUUCACUACGUUACUUUUUCAGCAAUUUGUAAUAUCUUACUAUAUCUAUAUAUCAAACAGCUAUUUGUGAGGAC